CUACGGAGGGUCCAAGCGUUAUCCGGAAUCAUUGGGUUUAAAGGGUCCGCAGGCGGUCAAUUAAGUCAGAGUUGAAAGCCCAUCGCUCAACGAUGGAACUGCCUUUGAUACUGGUUGACUUGAGUUAUACGGAAGUAGAUAGAAUAAGUAGUGUAGCGGUGAAAUGCAUAGAUAUUACUUAGAAUACCGAUCGCGAAGGCAGUCUACUACGUAUAUACUGACGCUGAGGGACGAAAGCGUGGGGAGCGAACAGGAUUAGAAACCCUAGUAGUCC
rnacentral:rRNA from 1 species